UGCGCAACUCGAGUAGCCUACUAUAAAAAGAUGUCCAGGAAGCGGCCAAAUUAACAUUUGAACUCAAAAUGACUGCAGCUCCGACCACACAGGACAGACUGGAACGCGCCCAUUCUCAGAUUUGCGCAGUCGCAAUGAUGAAAGCAUUCGAGAAACACCGCCAUUAUUGCGUAGCUAGUCUGACUAUUGCAUUGUGUUAGCGACCUAAACAAAAAUUACCUGCAAUAAUGAGGGCAAUUGUGAAAUUUUGUGGGAGUAAGCCCAUAUAGUGCGCGCCGUUUGCAUAAGGUGCCGUUGACCAGCUCAAGAUGUCCGCAGAGAUGCUCAGCAUUCCUCUUGGCACGAGCAAGCUCAAUGUGUUGGUGACCAAACUGCAUGGGUUCUUGGCUCAUGCUCCCGAGGAAGAUGACAACACACUGGUGACUGAAAGUCCUGAGGGUAUAAUGACCAAGGACUGUGUGGAGCCGCACUCAACAGACCGAACCUCCCUUGAGACCUCAACAGACGCCUUGAAGCAGUCCAGAUGUGGUUCCAGGAGGUGGGCUUUCUUCUGAUAUUUUGAAAUAUGUGAUAGUUUAUGUACAUGUUGUUUAUGGACAGGAAACGC
rnacentral:lncRNA from 1 species